GGAUGGUCUGAUGGUAGUGGGUUAUCAGAACUUACUAACAUUAGUGUCACUAAUGUUGGUAUACAGCCUCCCACUGCUAAAUUUGACUGGCUUAAC
rnacentral:Y_RNA from 1 species